GGAUGUGAGGGUGAUCUGGCUGUGACAUCUGUCACCCCAUUGAUCGCCAGGGUUGAUUCGGCUGAUCUGGCUGGCUAGGCGGGUGUCCCUGCCUCCCUCACUGCUCCAUGUGCGUCCCUCCCGAAGCUGCACGCUCGGUCGAAGAGGACGACCUUCCCUGCUAGAGGAGGACCGGUCUUCGGUCAAGGGUAUACAAGUAGCUGCGCUCCCCUGCUAGAACCUCCAAACAAGCUCUCAAGGUCCUCCUUCAUUUUUAAAUAAAAGCUUUGCUGGAUAUAAUAUUCUUGGUUGUAAGAUUUUUUCUUUUGAAACUUGGAAUAUAUC
rnacentral:snRNA from 1 species